AUUGAACGCUGGCGGCAUGCCUUACACAUGCAAGUCGAACGGCAGCGCGGGAGCAAUCCUGGUGGCGAGUGGCGGACGGGUGAGGAAUACAUGGGAAUCUGCCCAGUCGUGGGGGAUAACGUAUGGAAACGUACGCUAAUACCGCAUGCGCCCUACGGGGGAAAGUCGGGGACCGCAAGGCCUGACGCGAUUGGAUGAGCCCAUGUUCGAUUAGCUAGUUGGCGGGGUAAAGGCCCACCAAGGCGACGAUCGAUAGCUGGUCUGAGAGGAUGAUCAGCCACACUGGAACUGAGACACGGUCCAGACUCCUACGGGAGGCAGCAGUAGGGAAUAUUGGACAAUGGGGGCAACCCUGAUCCAGCCAUGCCGCGUGAGUGAAGAAGGCCCUCGGGUUGUAAAGCUCUUUUGUCCGGAAAGAAAGCAAUCGGUUAAUACCCGGUUGUUCUGACGGUACCGGAAGAAUAAGCACCGGCUAACUUCGUGCCAGCAGCCGCGGUAA
rnacentral:rRNA from 1 species